rnacentral:rRNA from 11 species
GACUCUCGGCAACGGAUAUCUCGGCUCACGCAUCGAUGAAGAACGUAGCAAAAUGCGAUACUUGGUGUGAAUUGCAGAAUCCCGUGAACCAUCGAGUUUUUGAACGCAAGUUGCGCCCGAAGCCAUCCGGUUGAGGGCACGUCUGCAUGGGCGUCA